UCCCGUUUAGCUCAGUGGUAGAGCGCUUCACUAGUAGCAUUAAUGGCAAUGCGACAAUGAAGAGGUCAGUCGUUCAAGUCGGCUAAUGGGAA